UACGUAGGGUGCGAGCGUUAAUCGGAAUUACUGGGCGUAAAGCGUGCGCAGGCGGUUUUGUAAGCCAGAUGUGAAAUCCCCGGGCUUAACCUGGGAAUGGCAUUUGGGACUGCAAGGCUUGAGUGCGGCAGAGGAGACUGGAAUUCCUGGUGUAGCAGUGAAAUGCGUAGAUAUCAUGAGGAAUACCAGAGGCGAAGGCGGCUACCUGGACCAGCACUGACACUGAGACACGAAAGCGUGGGGAGCAAACAGG
rnacentral:rRNA from 1 species